UACGAAGGGGGCUAGCGUUGCUCGGAAUCACUGGGCGUAAAGCGCACGUAGGCGGACUCUUAAGUCGGUGGUGAAAUCCUGGAGCUCAACUCCAGAACUGCCUUCGAUACUGAGAGUCUCGAGUCCGGGAGAGGUGAGUGGAACUGCGAGUGUAGAGGUGAAAUUCGUAGAUAUUCGCAAGAACACCAGUGGCGAAGGCGGCUCACUGGCUCGUUUCUGACGCUCAGGCGCGACAGCGUGGGGAUCAAACAGG
rnacentral:rRNA from 1 species